rnacentral:rRNA from 1 species
UACGUAGGGGCGAGCGUUGUCCGGAUUAUUGGGCGUAAAGAGCUCGUAGGCGGCUUAGCAAGUCGGGUGUGAAACUCCAGGCUCAACCUGGAGACGCCACUCGAGACUGCUAUGGCUAGAGUCCGGUAGGGGACCACGGAAUUCCUGGUGUAGCGGUGAAAUGCGCAGAUAUCAGGAGGAACACCGGUGGCGAAGGCGGUGGUCUGGGCCGGCACUGACGCUGAGGAGCGAAAGCGUGGGGAGCAAACAGG